AACGAACGCUGGCGGCAUGCCUAACACAUGCAAGUCGAACGAGACCUUCGGGUCUAGUGGCGCACGGGUGCGUAACGCGUGGGAACCUGCCCUUAGGUUCGGAAUAACUCCCCGAAAGGGGUGCUAAUCCCGGAUAAUGUCUUCGGACCAAAGAUUUAUCGCCUUUGGAUGGGCCCGCGUUGGAUUAGCUAGUUGGUAGGGUAAAAGCCUACCAAGGCGACGAUCCAUAGCUGGUCUGAGAGGAUGAUCAGCCACACUGGGACUGAGACACGGCCCAGACUCCUACGGGAGGCAGCAGUGGGGAAUAUUGGACAAUGGGCGAAAGCCUGAUCCAGCAAUGCCGCGUGAGUGAUGAGGGCCUUAGGGUUGUAAAGCUCUUUUACCCGGGAUGAUAAUGACAGUACCGGGAGAAUAAGCUCCGGCUAACUCCGUG
rnacentral:rRNA from 1 species